rnacentral:misc_RNA from 1 species
GUGAAAGUCACGUGCCAUUAAAGGUCAUGAGUUGUGAUCCAUUUUGGUCUUCUUUUCCGUCUGAGCAGGUAAUCACGUGGAGCGCCUCUUAGUUCUUCUUGUUGGUAAAUACGCCAAGUUGCUGGCUGCAUGCUACAACUCCAGAUUUCUCACCAGUAUUCUUCUGCUAAUUACUAUCUAAUUAAAGUAAAACCCUCAAAAAAUCCCUAAUAAUAUUUAUUAAUCAUGACAAUGAGCAAUUGCAGCAGCUGGGAUUUCACUAUCUUAGAUACCAGAAUGAUAAUAAUACUCAUGGUGACUUCAAAAGUGUAAAAUUUUCAUACCUAGGGUCUGAGCUUUUUUUGCUUGUUUAGAAAAUGAUUUUUGGACAAUUGAUUGGUAUAAAUCAAAGCAAUCAUCAAUAAAAGCUAAAAUCCUUCUCUUUCUUUGUGUUUUUCACAUGAAAGAAGGAGCAACAAAUCAUGACAUCCAUUCAGAAGCUUAAAGCAAUUGAAAAUCUUAAAAGAAAAGUUCGUUUGAUUCUUCUGAUUUUUUUUUUCCGUUUCAACUUCUUCAUUCCCUAAUUUCUCCAGAUACUAACUGCUCUUUCUGGGUUUGCUUUUCCUUCUGCUGCUUCUCCUUGGUGGUGGCGGUGGUGGUGCUGGUGGUGCUGGUUCCCUCUCUUCUGAUUGUCCCUCUUCCUUCUUUUUCCCUCGAGUAGAAGCCGAUGGUCCCUCGUCAGCCUCCUCUAUCUCUUGCUGUUUUUCUUCUUCUUGGCUGAUUUUAGCUUUCUUUGAUUGAUUGCCAAUAAUUUCUUCCGGUGGUUGUGCUUCUCCAGUUGCUGCUUCUUCCUUUUUCUCUUCGCUUUCUGUCCUUUCAAUGAUUUUUCGUGGUCUACCUCUCUUUCUCGGAGUCUGAGGCUGUUGUUGCUGCUGCGUUUCGUCUCCUGUGGAUGAAGCUUCUGCUAUUGCUACAGAAAGUUCCUUGAUCUUUUGAGGCCUCUUCUUACCCAUUAAUCGUUUUCAGUCACUAUAUAUAACAAGCUUUUACAAUCUAAAACAACAAUACACAGAUUAUCCAACACCCAAGAAACGAACAAUCCAAAAAAAAAACAGAAAUCUUUUUGAUGCUCUAUUCCCUUAUACCUCUCUUUGAAUCAAGAUACUAAGCAAGAAAGAAGCAAUUUUUUUCAUGGCCCUAACAAAAACGACACACUCUCUCUCUCUUUCUCUCGCUCUCUCUCUCUGCGUCUGUGUUCUACAGCAGCAGGACUAAAAUCUUUGACCAACAUCCAUCUGGUCCAUCUCUCUUUCUUAAUAGCAAUUUUUUUUUCCUAAAUAAAAGCUCAAAAGCUGCUAAAAUCA